GAGCAUCACCCAACAACCACAUCCGUCCUCUAGAGAAUCCCCUGAGAGCUCAGCUCCUCACCAUGGACUGGACCUGGAGGAUCCUCUUCUUGGUGGCAGCAGCUACAGGUGCCCACUCCCAGGUCCAGCUGGUGCAGUCUGGGGCUGAGGUGAAGAAACCUGGGACCUCAGUGAAGAUCUCCUGCAAGGCUUCUGGUUACACCUUCACCAGCUACUAUAUGCACUGGGUGCGACAGGCCCCUGGACAGGGGCUUGAGUGGAUUGGACGGAUCAACCCUAACAGUGGUAACACAAACUACGCACAGAAGUUUCAGGGCAGAGUCGCCAUGACCAGGGACACGUCCAUCAGCACAGCCUACAUGGAGCUGAGAAGCCUGAGAUCUGAGGACACAGCCACCUAUUACUGUGGAGAGACACAGUGUGAAAACCCACAUCCUGAGAGUGUCAGAAACCCCAGGGAGGAGGCAGCUAUGCUGGGGCUGAGAAAUGAAAGGGAUUAUUAUUUUUAAUGUUUUUUACAGUAUGUCAUUAAUAAAUUGAAAAAAGUAACAA